CAUCUUGAAGAUGAAGAGAUGGUGUCAUAUAUUCUCACCGGCUUGGAUGAGGACUAUGACACGGUGGUGACGGGUGUGGCCAAUAGAGCUGAACCCAUCUCCCUUGGCGAGCUGUACACACAGCUGAUCAGCCGUGAAU
rnacentral:snoRNA from 1 species